rnacentral:rRNA from 1 species
AGCGGCGGAUGGGUGAGUAACACGUGGAGAACCUGCCCCUAAGUCUGGGAUACCAUUUGGAAACAGGUGCUAAUACCGGAUAAUAAAGCAGAUCGCAUGAUCAGCUUUUGAAAGGCGGCGUAAGCUGUCGCUAAGGGAUGGCCCCGCGGUGCAUUAGCUAGUUGGUAAGGUAACGGCUUACCAAGGCGACGAUGCAUAGCCGAGUCGAGAGACUGAUCGGCCACAUUGGGACUGAGACACGGCCCAAACUCCUACGGGAGGCAGCAGUAGGGAAUCUUCCACAAUGGACGCAAGUCUGAUGGAGCAACGCCGCGUGAGUGAAGAAGGUUUUCGGAUCGUAAAGCUCUGUUGUUGGUGAAGAAGGAUAGAGGUAGUAACUGGCCUUUAUUUGACGGUAAUCAACCAGAAAGUCACGGCUAACUACGUGCCAGCAGCCGCGGUAAUACGUAGGUGGCAAGCGUUGUCCGGAUUUAUUGGGCGUAAAGCGAGCGCAGGCGGAAAAAUAAGUCUAAUGUGAAAGCCCUCGGCUUAACCGAGGAACUGCAUCGGAAACUGUUUUUCUUGAGUGCAGAAGAGGAGAGUGGAACUCCAUGUGUAGCGGUGGAAUGCGUAGAUAUAUGGAAGAACACCAGUGGCGAAGGCGGCUCUCUGGUCUGCAACUGACGCUGAGGCUCGAAAGCAUGGGUAGCGAACAGGAUUAGAUACCCUGGUAGUCCAUGCCGUAAACGAUGAGUGCUAAGUGU